AAGUCGUAACAAGGUUUCCGUAGGUGAACCUGCGGAAGGAUCAUUAAUGUGACUCUGCAUCAAGUGUGUGGAGGCAUUCCUUGUGCUGUGUAUUGGUUGUAUGUUCUGCCCGCAUGCAAUGCGUGGCGAGUUCAUGUUUUACUCGUAUUACCGUAUUUCUUAUUGUACAUUUAAACAAUCGAAAACUGCCAGCAAUGGAUCACUCGGUUCUC
rnacentral:misc_RNA from 1 species